rnacentral:lncRNA from 1 species
GUCGUGCACUCUUCCAUCCUUCAUUCUCGAGCUUUCUUGUUCUUUCGCACCGCGUUUCACAGGUCGUUAGAUACCACGGAUCUCUUGAGAAAAUUACAGAAACCCACGUGGCAAGAAAAGUGGAUAUUUGGAAAAGGUUGAGCAGCUGACAGUCAACUGUGUAUUCGAAAUAUACAACAUACGUUUUAGAAAAUGACACGUAAAAGAAAAAGUAACGACUGCUAUUCAGAUAGACAUAAACGUCGACUCGUUGAACAACAAACUAAAUUAAGUAUUAUUAGAAUGAAGCACGUUAAGCACGUAUAGUACGAAAUGUAAAGUCGUGAACCAAACGCUUUUUUUAAAAUAUACAUGAAAAUAAGUAUAGUUUUUUCUCGAUUUAAACUUAUUAUUAUAAUAUUAUAAUAAUUAAAUUAUUUUUAAA